ACCCGAAGUCCGUGAGGUAACCCGUAAGGGAGCCAGCGGCCGAAGGUGGGAUUAGUGAUUGGGGUGAAGUCGUAACAAGGUAGCCGUAGGUGAACCUGCAGAAGGAUCA
rnacentral:rRNA from 1 species